GGGACACUUCUGCGUCUGAGCCGCGACUUGAGAUCCUCGGGGGAACGUAAACGCACUGCCUUUUUUGCCUACCUGAAGCCCUCCUCCAUCUCCUCCCCAUCCCUGGAUCUGGCAGUGUCAGUUUUGUACUCGGUGGUGCCUCCAGCGCUGAAUCCCCUCAUCUACAGCCUGAGGAACCAGGAGCUCAAGGCUGCAGUGUGGAGACUGAUGACUGGAUGGUUUCAGAAGCAUUAAACUGCUGGCCGUUUUCUGCAAGUCAUUGCAAUAAAAGUGAACUUUGAUAGUUCUUGUUGAA